rnacentral:lncRNA from 1 species
UAAACUCUGUAGGAAAGGAGGUUAAUACAAUGAGUCCAGGAGACGUUUUCUCAUCUAAUGUCACAGGGCUCAUACCUAUUAAUACAUGAGAGCCAGAUUAACAAGUUCUUUUUGUUGUUGUUGUUGUUUCAUUUUAAACUACAGAGGAGAAAAUUCUCUAUUUAACUCCAGAACAAGAAAAGGAUAAAUCUCAUUUCACAGACAAAGAGGUAUGUGAUUAUUUUCUUUGGUGGUAAACGCAAGGAAGCACAGACUCUCAGCCUUGGGAGACCAAACCUCAUACUAGUUAGGGAGUCAGCAGGAAGGGGUCAGCUUCUAUUUGCCAUGCACUGAUCUGAUUCCAAGGAAGGGGGCCUAGGAAUGGUUACUGCAGAUCUUUUUAAGUAAUUAAGCAGUCAGGAAAACAUUGUUGUUAUCCUUGAAAUAAUUUGAAUAGUUUCUGCUAUCUGUGAACCUAUACUGCUUUCUUUGCUUUUAUCAGUUCUUCCACUGCAGUGGCUUCUCUGCAUUUGAUGUAAAUGUAUACCAGUUUAAAAUUCUAUGAGUUGGAGGACUUGGGCCUUUAUGAAGCUGCUCCCAAAAGCAUUUGUGGCAUGCUUCUUCUGGGGUGUGAAUGAGUGAGCAACAGCAUGACUUCUGGAAUCAACAGUAGGAAUCAUAAGUUGAAGAAUUUGUUAAUGUUUCAUUAAAGGGUAGAGCCUGAGAAGUAUUAAAGUAUAAAGUAAUCAGAAUUUCUCUGCUAUUUCAGUUCUGUUACCAGAAACCAGAAUUCACUUUAUUUUACACACAUUUUAUACAUAUGCAUAAUGAGUAGGAGAAUUAGAGUGGUGGAAAGAGGGAUUGAGAGGGUUAAGAUGAACUUCAUUGUGUAUAAUGUUUUUGUUUCUCAUGGUCGCAUCUAUAGACGGGGCAGGAACAUGAGCUGAUUGAGAGCAUGCCCCUUUUGGAAUGGUUUGCUAACAACUAUAAAAAAUUUGGAGCUACAUUGGAAAUUGUCACAGAUAAGUCACAAGAAGGAUCCCAAUUUGUGAAAGGAUUUGGUGGAAUUGGAGGUGAGUAGCAAAUCAGCAAAUAUAACUUAAAACAAGGGUUUCAGGCCAGGGCCUCUCCUGGAUUAAGUAAUUUCAGGUAAAGUGUACUCAUGGUCUACUUGAGGCAGGUGGCUACACAACUUGAUUUGGAUUUUUUUCCCCUCUCCAUUACUGGGGAAUGAACCAAGGGGUUCACACAGCCCUUUUUAUUUUAUUUUGAGAUGAAGUUUAAGUUAUCAAUGCAGGUUUCAAACUUGGCAGUCCUUCCUCAGCCUCCCAAGUCAAUAGGAAUACAGGUGUGCACCACCACACCCAGCUGGAACAAUUUUAAUCAGUCACUCUUUGCUUUCUAGAAUUCUGCAAAUGAAUGGACUACCCUUAUAGAGCAACCCCUCCCUAUUCCAUGAACAUUGGUACUUACCCUUUGAUUUUUUUCUCUAGGUAUCUUGCGGUACCGAGUAGAUUUCCAGGGAAUGGAAUACCAAGGAGGAGACGAUGAAUUUUUUGACCUUGAUGACUACUAGGUAGUCGACAUGGGUCCGGCAAAAUGUGCCUCACCCUCCAGCAUCCAACCCAAGGAGCAUACCCGUGGUGGAAUCCAAACAGAUCCCUGCCUUACAAUUGGAACAUUUCCAGAACUUAAUCCAUGAGCAUUGGAUACUGAAAAGAAAACCGAAACAAAACCAGACCCAACCCUGUACAUUGGUUUGUCAUGGUGUCAGCGCAGCAGCCUGCAACUAAGUUCCUAAAUGCCACUUUGGACUAAUUUAAAAAGAAUCCCAGUUUUUACUUUUACUUGAUGGUGAAAUUGGUUGCUCUUGUAUUUUAUGAAAAAAAAAAUGAUUUUUUUAACCUUCAUACAUAGAAGCAAAAUACUUUAACUGCUGUAAACCUUCAAAAGUUAAUAGAAGCGAGAUCAUACUGGUUUGUUUCUUAUUUUGAUUGGAGAAAAAUUAAAAUUGCUGCAUUUCGCAGUGACCCAUUUACAUGGCAUUCUCAGCUUAGACUGCAUAAGAAGAAAUACAUGUGGUGAAAUGUUGGAACCAUUUCUCUCUUGGUCUCUGUUUAAUGUUGAAAGGGUGAGCUAAUAGGAGGCAGUUUCAACCUCACUCCCACACACCCCUUCCCCAAACUGUCAGUUUCAAGGAUGCAGAUUGCAUUGUAAAGUCAAACUGACUCAUGAAGCAUUGAGGCCAGUGCACUGUUUACUUUCAUCUGUUUGGCAGACACAUUUGUGCCCGAUGUUUGGGAGCCCUUUGUAUCAUUUACUUUAACAAGGGUCCCCAUAAACCUAGCCUACUAGAAAUCAGUUUGGGAUGGAUAUGGUUGGGCUUCUGUGCUAUUUGCUGGGAUUGGGAGAAAUAAAACAAACAAUUUUAGUGGAAGCAAAGAAAUUUAAAGAUUAUUUUAUUUUGCUUGGGUCUACCCUUGGUAAAAAGGGAGGUGGUCGUGUUUCCUUGUGUUGGGUGGCAUGAGAUUAUGUGAAUGUUUUGAUUUUUUUUUUUUUUUU